AGAGUUUGAUCAUGGCUCAGAUUGAACGCUGGCGGCAGGCCUAACACAUGCAAGUCGAACGGUAACAGGAAGAAGCUUGCUUCUUUGCUGACGAGUGGCGGACGGGUGAGUAAUGUCUGGGAAACUGCCUGAUGGAGGGGGAUAACUACUGGAAACGGUAGCUAAUACCGCAUAACGUCGCAAGACCAAAGAGGGGGACCUUCGGGCCUCUUGCCAUCGGAUGUGCCCAGACGGGAUUAGCUAGUAGGUGGGGUAACGGCUCACCUAGGCGACGAUCCCUAGCUGGUCUGAGAGGAUGACCAGCCACACUGGAACUGAGACACGGUCCAGACUCCUACGGGAGGCAGCAGUGGGGAAUAUUGCACAAUGGGCGCAAGCCUGAUGCAGCCAUGCCGCGUGUAUGAAGAAGGCCUUCGGGAUGUAAAGUACUUUCAGCGGGGAGGAAGGGAGUAAAGUUAAUACCUUUGCUCAUUGACGUUACCCGCAGAAGAAGCACCGGCUAACUCCGCGCCAGCAGCCGCGUAAUACGGAGGGUGCAAGCGUUAAUCGGAAUUACUGGGCGUAAAGCGCACGCAGGCGGUUUGUUAAGUCAGAUGUGAAAUCCCCGGGCUCAACCUGGGAACUGCAUCUGAUACUGGCAAGCUUGAGUCUCGUAGAGGGGGGUAGAAUUCCAGGUGUAGCGGUGAAAUGCGUAGAGAUCUGGAGGAAUACCGGUGGCGAAGGCGGCCCCCUGGACGAAGACUGACGCUCAGGUGCGAAAGCGUGGGGAGCAAACAGGAUUAGAUACCCUGGUAGUCCACGCCGUAAACGAUGUCGACUUGGAGGUUGUGCCCUUGAGGCGUGGCUUCCGGAGCUAACGCGUUAAGUCGACCGCCUGGGGAGUACGACCGCAAGGUUAAAACUUAAAUGAAUUGACGGGGGCCCGCACAAGCGGUGGAGCAUGCGGUUUAAUUCGAUGCAACGCGAAGAACCUUACCUGGUCUCGACAUCCACAGAACUUUCCGGAGAUGGAUUGGUGCCUUCGGGAACUGUGAGACAGGUGCUGCAUGGCUGUCGUCAGCUCGUGUUGUGAAAUGUUGGGUUAAGUCCCGCAACGAGCGCAACCCUUAUCUUUUGUUGCCAGCGGUCCGGCCGGGAACUCAAAGGAGACUGCCAGUGAUAAACUGGAGGAAGGUGGGGAUGACGUCAAGUCAUCAUGGCCCUUACGACCAGGGCUACACACGUGCUACAAUGGCGCAUACAAAGAGAAGCGACCUCGCGAGAGCAAGCGGACCUCAUAAAGUGCGUCGUAGUCCGGAUUGGAGUCUGCAACUCGACUCCAUGAAGUCGGAAUCGCUAGUAAUCGUGGAUCAGAAUGCCACGGUGAAUACGUUCCCGGGCCUUGUACACACCGCCCGUCACACCAUGGGAGUGGGUUGCAAAAGAAGUAGGUAGCUUAACCUUCGGGAGGGCGCUUACCACUU
rnacentral:rRNA from 1 species